rnacentral:rRNA from 1 species
UACGUAGGGUGCGAGCGUUGUCCGGAAUUAUUGGGCGUAAAGGGCUCGUAGGCGGUUUGUCGCGUCGGGAGUGAAAUCCCCAGGCUCAACUUGGGAACUGCGUCUGAUACUGGAUGGCUUGAAUCCGGGAGAGGGAUGCAGAAUUCCAGGUGUAGCGGUGAAAUGCGUAGAUAUCAGGAGGAACACCGAUGGCGAAGGCAGGUCUCUGGGCCGAUACUGACGUGAGGAGCGAAAGCGUGGGGAGCGAACAGG